UGGGGAAUCUUGCACAAUGGGGGAAACCCUGAUGCAGCGACGCCGCGUGAGCGAUGAAGGUUUUCGAAUCGUAAAGCUCUUUCCUAUGGGAAGAUAAUGACGGUACCAUAGGAGGAAGCCCCGGCUAACUACGUGCCAGCAGCCGCGGUAAUACGUAGGGGGCGAGCGUUGUCCGGAAUUACUGGGCGUAAAGGGUUCGCAGGCGGCAUGACAAGUCCGAUGUAAAAGGCGAAAGCUCAACUUUCGUAAGCAUCGGAAACUGUCAAGCUUGAGUGAAGGAGAGGCAAGUGGAAUUCCUAGUGUAGCGGUGGAAUGCGUAGAUAUUAGGAGGAAUACCGGUGGCGAAGGCGACUUGCUGGACUUCAACUGACGCUGAGGAACGAAAGCGUGGGUAGCAAACAGG
rnacentral:rRNA from 1 species